rnacentral:rRNA from 1 species
GUGGGGAAUAUUGGACAAUGGGGGGAACCCUGAUCCAGCCAUGCCGCGUGUGUGAAGAAGGCCUUUUGGUUGUAAAGCACUUUAAGCGAGGAGGAGGCUACCGAGAUUAAUACUCUUGGAUAGUGGACGUUACUCGCAGAAUAAGCACCGGCUAACUCUGUGCCAGCAGCCGCGGUAAUACAGAGGGUGCAAGCGUUAAUCGGAUUUACUGGGCGUAAAGCGCGCGUAGGUGGCCAAUUAAGUCAAAUGUGAAAUCCCCGAGCUUAACUUGGGAAUUGCAUUCGAUACUGGUUGGCUAGAGUAUGGGAGAGGAUGGUAGAAUUCCAGGUGUAGCGGUGAAAUGCGUAGAGAUCUGGAGGAAUACCGAUGGCGAAGGCAGCCAUCUGGCCUAAUACUGACACUGAGGUGCGAAAGCAUGGGGAGCAAACAGGAUUAGAAACCCUGGUAGUCC